rnacentral:rRNA from 1 species
CUUGGUCAUUUAGAGGAAGUAAAAGUCGUAACAAGGUUUCCGUAGGUGAACCUGCGGAAGGAUCAUUCAUAAUAAGUGUUUUAUGGCACUUUUUAAAUCCAUAUCCACCUUGUGUGCAAUGUCAGUCGAUCUUCUUCAUGGAGAUCGACCAAACAUCAACCUUUAUCCUUUAACUCUUUGUCUGAAAAAUAUUAUGAAUAAACAAUUCAAAAUACAACUUUCAACAACGGAUCUCUUGGCUCUCGCAUCGAUGAAGAACGCAGCGAAAUGCGAUACGUAAUGUGAAUUGCAGAAUUCAGUGAAUCAUCGAAUCUUUGAACGCAUAUUGCGCUCUUUGGUAUUCCGAAGAGCAUGCUUGUUUGAGUAUCAGUAAACACCUCAAAGCUUUUGGAUUUUUUAAUCGAAAAGCUUUGGACUUGAGCAAUCCCAACACCAAUCUUUUUGAGAUCGGUGGCGGGUUGCUUGAAAUGCAGGUGCAGCUGGACAUUCUCCUGAGCUAAAAGCAUAUUCAUUUAGUCCCGUCAAACGGAUUAUUACUUUUGCUGCAGCUAACAUAAAGGGAGUUUGACCGUAUUGGCUGACUGAUGCAGGAGUUCACAAGGGUCGGCAACGAUUCUUGUUAAACUCGAUCUCAAAUCAAGUAAGACUACCCGCUGAACUUAAGCAUAUCAAUAAGCGGAGGA